GAUGAACGCUGGCGGCGUGCCUAAUACAUGCAAGUCGAGCGAACAGAUGAGAAGCUUGCUUCUCUGAUGUUAGCGGCGGACGGGUGAGUAACACGUGGGUAACCUACCUAUAAGACUGGGAUAACUCCGGGAAACCGGGGCUAAUACCGGAUAAUAUUUUGAACCGCAUGGUUCAAUAGUGAAAGACGGUUUCGGCUGUCACUUAUAGAUGGACCCGCGCCGUAUUAGGUAGUUGGUAAGGUAACGGCGUACCAAGGCGACGAUACGUAGCCGACCUGAGAGGGGGAUCGGCCACACUGGAACUGAGACACGGUCCAGACUCCUACGGGAGGCAGCAGUAGGGAAUCUUCCGCGAUGGGCGAAAGCCUGACGGAGCAACGCCGCGUGAGUGAUGAAGGUCUUCGGAUCGUAAAACUCUGUUGUUAGGGAAGAACAAAUUUGUUAGUAACUGAACAAGUCUUGACGGUACCUAACCAGAAAGCCACGGCUAACUACGUGCCAGCAGCCGCCGUAA
rnacentral:rRNA from 1 species